rnacentral:rRNA from 1 species
GUGAACGAUGAAGGUCUUCUGAUUGUAAAGUUCUUUUAUUUAGGAAAAAAAGCUUGAGAGGAAAUGAUUAAGCCUUGAUUGUACUAAAUGAAUAAGUGACAGCUAACUAUGUGCCAGCAGCUGCGGUAAAACAUAGGUCACGAGCAUUAUCCGGAUUUAUUGGGCGUAAAGGAAGCGUAGGCGGACAAGUUGAUCUAUUGUGAAAGGCACUUGCUCAACGAGUUGUUUGUGAUAGAUAUCGUUUGUCUAGAAUUAGUUAGGAGAUACUGGAAUUCAAUGUGUAGCGGUGGAAUGCGUAGAUAUAUUGAGGAACACCAGAGGCUAAGGCGAGUAUCUAGGACAUAAUUGACGCUGAGGCUUGAAAGCGUGGGGAGCAAAUGGGAUUAGAUACCCCAGUAGUCCACGCCGUAAACGAUGGGUAUUAGGUAUUUGGUUUAGGACUGAGUGCUGUAGCUAACGCGUUAAAUACCCCGCCUGGGUAGUAUAUAUGC